AUAGAUAUGCACGACUCUAUGCAGCGGUUACAACUGCAGGGAAGUGGUGCUCAUGCCUUGAUGAUGCGUGAGCAGUUUCUGCUUAACGCCAACUGGCCUGUGGACAGGCCUGUGUAUGGUGAGGGGGCGGGCGCUGGUGCGUCUUCGGGUGCUGCAGCUGAUGAUGAUGAUGAUGAUGAUGAUGAUGAGGCUACCGGUUCUGAAGCCGGUAGCGAGGAGGAUUCUGAGCCCUUAGAGGGUUAAGUUUUUGUAUUUUUC
rnacentral:lncRNA from 1 species